rnacentral:rRNA from 1 species
UUCUAUUUUCUUGAAGUUAAUUAUUUGGUGAAAAAGCUAAAUUUCUCUUAGAGGACGAUAAGACCCUAUAGAUCUUUAUAAGAUUAUGUUAGUUUUUUGGAUGUUAUCAAGCUAAAGGAUUUCUUAUUUCGUUGGGGCGACGUUGAGGGUUGACCUAUCUCUCAAAAUGUUUUUACAUUAAUAAAUGAUUUUUGAUCCUUUAGUGAAUUAGGAUAAAGUUACCUUAGGGAUAACAGCGUAAUUUUUCUUGAGAGUUCUUAUCG